GUCUACGGCCAUGCCAUCCUGAACAAGCCUGAUGUCUGAUCUCGGAAGCUAAGCAGGGUUGGGCCUGGUUAGUACUUGGAUGGGAGACCACCUAGGAAGGCCAGGUGCUGUAGGCG
rnacentral:rRNA from 1 species